GGUGUUUAGCUCUGACCUUUUUUAAAGCGGCAGAGAAAGAGACCUCGCAAAACAGCUCUGCGCAAAAGCCGUCGGGGAAGGCGGUUGGGGCUGUGACUCAGGACUCGCCAGGCUCUGCCCUCUCAGGGUGGCCCUACCUCUUCUCAAGAUUUUUCCUCAACAGCCACCAAGUCCGUAACUGUAACCAGUCGUUCACUCUGUGGUCUGUGCCGAAGUCCUUGCUGGAUACCAGAUUUGCAGCCACUGCCCUGAUGUGGGACCCUAUGGCUUGACACACGGACCGUUUGAGGGACCACCAGACUGGGUUCCUCCUUACGACCUUUCCCUCUCCUGGUUUCUGCACAUCUCUGCAACGUGAAUGUGGCCGGAUCUCCUGUACGAUUCAGUUGUGAUAUUUACACCACCGAUGUUGCUGGUGUGGCCGUGGAAUUUACACCUUGCCGGAGGAGAGCUCUUUCGGCUCCAUCAGAAGGAGCAUCCAACCAACGAUUUGGAGAAUUUCGUGUCUCAUCCACCUGGAAGCUGGAGGGCUGGACGUCUAAAAGCUGCAUUUCUGAAACUUCCUUCCGGCUGGAGUCCUGGAUGGUGAGCUGUCGGUGAGAUCCUCUUGCAAGAAAUGUCCAACUUAGAACUGAGGUAGGAGCCACCUGCCUGACGUUGUGGCUGCCAGGGGACCGGCAGAAGUGGAUUCAUUCAGUGGCUGGAAUCACAUUCCAGGGUGUCAAUGGCAGCAAGGGGAGAUGAGGGCUGGGCAGUGCCAGGAAUGACAGAGGCAGCGGCGGCCCCCUGCCCCCCUCCUGGUUCCCCCUGUGGGGUUGAAACCAUCCAUGGUCCCUCCAGCCCC
rnacentral:lncRNA from 1 species